AAAUAAAUAAAAACUCAAAUCCUACACACACACACACACACACACACACAUUAAGGUCAAUCACAGAGUCACUUAUCAAAAAGUUUAUUGGGAAUGAUGCAUCCCCUCCAUAGGCCAAUAAAGCAAAUACAUUAAAAUCCUCCAUCGGUCUCUUUUCGUCCUCAUAUAUAUAGAUAUUUAUAUAAUAGCUCUAUUCAGCCCACGAGCCCCCCCCCAACCCAUCCCCACCCACCCCGAACAGGCCUCCCCAGACACUGACCUAACCUAACCUGACCUGACCUGACCACACAAACGAUACACAGCACAAAACUACAGCACGACUGACGCAGCGACAGACUUAAAUAAAGGAAACUGAAGGGGCGGAGAAGGCUGUAGGAACGAGGAAGAGGAGAAGGAGAGGGAUAGAUUGCAUUAUAGAGGAAGAAAGGACAAAAUAAGAUGUCGCAAUAGAGUCACAAAUAGGGGAAAUUGAAAGGGUGGAAAUGUUGGAGAUAGAUAUGAUGGGAGGAAGAGAAGGAAGAGAGGAAGGAGAGACGGAAGAAAGGAAGUUGUAAAGUUUCGUUUAGUCGGCGCAACAUCUGUGGUCAUAUGCCGGAGAGAGACAGAAGGGGAAGGAAUUACAGGAGAAGGGAACAGACCCCAGGAGACGGGACACAACCCCCGAUUAAUACCUGGUACCCAUUCACUGCUGGGUGGACAGGGGCGUAGGGUAUCGGAGAAGCUGCCCAAAUGUUUCCACUCUGCCCAGGAAUCGAACCUGGGCUCUCUUGGUUGUGAGCCGGAGAGGAAAGAGGAAAGAGGGGGCGAAGAUGAAGGAAGAAGAGGGGAGUGAGGAGAGGAAAGAGGACAGGGAAAGAAAAAAGAGGAGUAAGGAGAGGAAAGAGGAAAGAGGAAACAGAGACGGGAUUGAAGGAUGGCAGAUGGGACGGGCAGACAGGUGCAGGGACGCUAACAUACAAUAAAUAAAGCAGGAUUAGUGAAGAAAACCUUGUAGUCUGUCGGCAGAAACUAAACUAAGUGACCUAACCAAGAACUGACAGCUGGAAACUAAAAUAUACAAAAAAAGGAAAAAAAUAAUAAUAAUAUACAUGUUCCUCGGAUUUUGUCGGCGCAGAAAAAAAAAAAAGGAGAAAUUAAAGUCAUAUAAAUUCAACAAAAAUAUUGAAAUUGAGAAAACAAAACAAUGAAAUCAACAAAAUAAGAAAAUAAUGAAGAACAGAAAAAAAUAUAUAUAUAAAUACUACUGCAUGUUAACUUUAUAAAUAUUGUAUAAUUAAGCAAAUAAACAAAACAAAAUAUAAUGAAAUAAAAAAAAUAUGAUGACCAGAACAGAAAAGUAAUAAAAAUAAUAAUAAUAAUAAUAAUAAUAAUAAUAAUAAUAAUAAUAAUAAUAAUAAUAAUACAAACACACACAUCUACACCAAUCUUGUGCCGGGUCAUCAGAGAACAGGUCAACCUACGCAAAAAAAAGGAAGUGAGGUCAUCAGUGCUUCGACAGGUCAACUUAACUAUGUGUGAAAGUGUGACACGGGUGAAUCUAUACAGGUGUGAGGGUGAAACACGGGUGAAACUAUACAGGUGUGAGGGUGAAACAGGUACUUACUAAGGGGUGUCAGGGUGAACCAGGUAAACUUAAGGUGAGGGUGAGCCAGGUAAACUUAGGUAAGGCUGCGUUUCCACCAAGCAAAUUGAAUUGAUUCAAUUCAUGAAGAAUCAUUUGACUUGAUUCAUUUUGAAUCGGCACAGUUCCAACUGACUGAGUCUGAAUCAACAUUCAAAAGGCAGCACCAAGCCUGGCUUUCACGAGAAUGGACGUAUACGCUGUCGCUGAUACAGCAGCAGUGCUGUGGCUGAGGCGCAGGCGUAGGUGCAGGCCAUGGGAUCGCUGGGAUCAUUUAUUGCACGUCGUUCUCGCACUAAACUAAUCAGGACGUCCACUAUCAUGGUGCUUACUGCUAAAUCCUCGGGUGACUCGCCGUGAAUGAUGAAAAAAUGGGUCCAAAUCAAUCAGUGAUUCUGAAUCGCCAUGAAUCAUCAUGAUUUGCAUUGACUCGAUUCGCUUGGUGACAUGCAGGUAUAGCCAAUAAGGUGUGAAGGUGAAACAGGUGUGAAGCAUCUGAAACAUAAGUUACCAAUCCUAAUUACAUACAAGUGAGUGAAGGUGAUGCAGGUGAGAUCAUUAAUUUGUGAUGGUGAAGGACAGGUGAACAAGUCAAGGUGAGUGGACACUAGGCAGGUAAAGGUAUAUAAUGAGGGUGAAAGUUAAUGGUGACACCUGUAGAAAACUAAUUACAAGUAAGAUCAAAGGUGCUCAGGUGUUUGGGAGGGCUCUAUUAGCUGAUAUAAAAAUUAAGGUGUGUGGGUGGAUGUUGGGCAAGUCAAGAUAUAAACGAGGUAAUAGGUAAUGACCACACCUGCAGAAAACUAAUUACAGGUAAGAUCAAAGGUGUUCAGGUGUUCAGGACUCAUUAGCUCUGAUCACCUGCUAAAAGAUAAAUAAUACUUGUCUAGAAUAUAAAAAAAUAAGGUUUGAGGAUGGAUAUCAGGCAGACUAAGGUGCGCAAGGUAAGCUCAUAUAGCCUGCUGGAAGGUAGAUUGAAGUUGUAGGAUAGAGUGUGAAUAAAGAAAAAUAAAUAAGGAAGGAAAGGCGAGAUUAGGUAACAGAGGAAAUGUGUUGCUGUGAAAAACAAACAAACGAAAAAAAAUGCAGUAGAGGAAAUAAGAAAUGUGUUGAUAAUUUGAAAAAAUAAGUAAAUAAACAAACAUACAGGGGAAGUUAAAGUUAGGUAAAGAGAGAAUCACGUUCCUGAGUAAACAAAUAAAAAAAUGGAAAUAAAUAAAAAUAGAAAGGAGGUAAGGUGACGUAAGGGGAUGUGUUGCCAAUGAGUGAAUAAAAAAAUAAAUUAAAAUAGGAAGGGAAGGCAAGGUAAGGAAAAGGAAGGGGACGAUGGGGUGAGUGAGGAGUGAGUGCGUCGCUAACUUCAGAACAAACAAACAAACCAAAAGAAGUAUGUACGGGAUGGAAGGGUCAAAAAGGGAGGCGUUGAGUGCGUUUUGAGAGGGAGCGAGUUAGGUGGUCAAAAGGUCAAAGGUCACGGCUGUACAAAAAAAGUAUGCAGGGGAUGGAAGGGUCAAAAAGGGAGGCGUUGAGUGCGUUUUGAGAGGGAGCGAGUUAGGUGGUCAAAAGGUCAAAGGUCACGGCUACACAAAAAAAAUGAUAAAUGGAUUGGUCAAGUUCGUCAGCGGCUUCACGGCAACACUUCUUCCCUGCGAGGCGCGUGUUUCAGGUGUGUUUCUCGGCGGAAGCGCAAAACAAAUGUCAACUGGCAACACUCCUUCCCUUCUUGUUCCUCUUCCUCUUCCUCCUAAACCACACACUCGUUCUGGCAACACUUCGGCAAUACUCCUCCGUUCCUUCCUCCUCCUCUUCCUCCUAAACCACUCUCGUUCUGGCAACACUUCUUUCCUCUUCCUCUUCCCCGUACAACACUUCUUCCUUCCUUCCUCUUCCUCUUCCUCCUAAACCACUCUCGUUCUGGCAACACUUCUUUCCUCUUCCUCUUCCCCGUACAACACUUCUUCCUUCCUUGCUCUUCCUCUUCCUCCUAAACCACUCGAUCAUCCUGGCAACACUUCUUCUUUUCUCUUCCUCUUCCUCGUACAACACUUCUCCGUUCCUUCCUCUUCCUCUUCCUCCUAAACCACUCGAUCGUCCUGGCAACACUUCUUCUUUUCUCUUCCUCUUCCUCGUAUAACACUUCUCCCUUCCUUUCUCUUCCUCUUACGCUUCUUCCUUCCUUUCUUCAUCUUCCUUCUCCUCCUUCUAAAUCACUUACUUUCUUCUUUGCUUCAUUUUUAAUCUUCCUGGCCCUUCCCUUUUUCACUCCUUCCUUUCUUAUUUCUUGUCUUCCUCCUCCUACACCUUCUCCUUAUUCCCUUCUUUAUUAUUCCUGUUUUCGUUCACUUAAUUCCUUCCUAUAUGUCAGUUUCUUCUUCUCGUUUCACCUCCCUCUCCCUCCCUCUCUCUCUUAACUCUCUGGUGCUACACAGUUCAUGCAAAACACAAUACUCUGGAUGUGAUUUUUAUUAAUUGGAGUGAUAAAUAAUUUAUAUAAAAAUAUUAACCUGCAUUGGUCUACACUAUUACAGUACAGCGUUAGAGAAGUUUACAAAAGAAUGAAUCGACAAGGAUGCUCUCUCUGGUGAGGUGGGUUCAUGUCCUUACGUCUGUUCAUGGCGAAGGGGAAACUAAACAGAGAAAAUGUAUGCAGCGUACGUACUUGCCGGCUAUACAGUCCAGUCGUCCCUCAAAUAGCACGGUUUCCAAUAGUCCAGUUUCGGCUUUAUACGGAUUGUCAAAGAAGAUCGUUUUAGGAUUUUUAAAUUUCCUGCUUGUCGGGAAAUUCAAAAAUCCUAAAAAAAUCUUCCGUGAAAAUCCACGUAAAACCAAACUACUGGAAGCCGUGCUAUUUGAGGGAUGACUGUACCGAUGUCACACCCGACACACCCAGGGCCACAUCUCUUCGGUCAAUACACGUCUUUAUGUCAUAUCUUUUUCUUUCCAUAUGUCACACUCACGGCCAUAUCACUAUACACAUAUAGGUCACACUCUAUACUUUUUUAUGCUAUUCCACUCUUCAGCCACACUCUCAGAGCCAUAUCUUUCUCUACACACCUUUAUGUCACACCAAUCUUCAGUUUUAGGUCACAUCUCUCUUCACAGCACACACACACAUGGGGUCACAUCUCGCCUCAACCAUAUCUUCCUUCACACCCAACACACAGCGCCACAUCUUUCUACACACCUCUACACCACAUCCCUCCUCACAGCACACAUACGGGGUCACAUCUUUUUCUGCACACCUCUACACCACAUCUCUCUUCACAGAAAACACACACGGGGUCACAUCUCUUUCGACACACCUUAGGACACAUCUCUCGUCAACCACACACUCAGGGACAUACUAAAUUUUAUGGUACACUUACACCCAGGGCCACAUCACACAGUACACCCUUAGGCCACACCCCACCUAACCAUACACCUUGUCAAACCUCUGUAGUUAAACCAAGAGCAAGACUUUUUUUUCUAUAUAUUCGAGAUCACUUGGUAUUGCUGGUUCUCUCUGCCAAAAACCAAGACCCGGACCUUUUUUAUCGACCCUAAAACACUUAUUGCAAUGUUGGUCUUCUAUGCAACAAUGUCAACGCAAAACGCCUGUCUCGUCAACACACCUUGGCAGCCCUUAUUCAAUGCACAACAGCUGGCUUUACACCUACAUAAGUCAUAAACACCUGUCAGGUCUUAGCAUACACCUGCGUCGCCUAAAUUUACAUAGGCCAGUCUGUGGAUGGGGUAGAAUUUCAUACACAAUGGUCGUCCUUUUUGCUGGCUAACACGAGGCCUUUUCCGUACCAAGCUAAAGGUUCCUGUUACUUCCUAGGGGGUCGGGACAUCUUAGCAACACUCCCUAAGGAUUUCACACACCUAUAAUACCACUGGUCAGUAUAGCAACACCUCCUUUGUGGCUCUGUACCAAAUGCACGCUUGUUAGGGGACUUGUAACACUGAGCCACUACGAUAUUUCUGAUACUUUAGGAACCCGAACUUUGAUUUACAGACUCUCUUAAGUUACUAUACAUAAGACUCUUCAAGAUAUGGAUGAAAUACUCUGUUAGGCAGCUGUUACACAUCUUUUGGUAGUCAUUUUCGUACCAGCAUUUUUUAUAUUUGAAGAAACCCAGAAUUUGAGUUAUAAAUGGCAUACUCUCUUUUCCUAUACAUAAGCUUCAAGUGAUAGAUGAAAUUGUUAGGCAUUUUUUACAGCCUUCUUAAUAGUCAUUUUCUAACACCGUGAGCCACUACCCACAUUUUUGAUAAUAAGAAACCCAAAUUUUGAGUUACAGAUGACAUACUCUCAUAAGUUUCUAUACACAAGCUUCAAGUGAUAGAUGAAAUACUCUGUUAGGCAUCUUUUACACCCCUUUUGGUAAUCAUUUUCAUACACUGAGGCACUACCGAAAUUUUUUAUAUUUUAAGAAACCCAGAAUCUGAGUUAUAGAUGACAUACUCUCUUUUCCUUUACAUAAGACUGAUGUGAUAGAUGAAAUACUCUGUUAGGCAUCUUUUACACCCCUUUUGGUAAUCAUUUUCGUACACUGUGAGCCACCACCGACAUUUUGGAUAUUUUAAGAAACCCAGAAUCUGAGUUAUAGAUGACAUACUCUCUUUUCCUUUACAUAAGACUGAUGUGAUAGAUGAAAUACUCUGUUAGGCAUUUUAUACACCCUUAGUAGUCAUUUUCAUACACCGUGAGCCACUACCGACAUUUUGGAUAUCUUAAGAAAGCCGUGAGUUAUAGAUGACAUACUCCCUUAGGUUUCAAUACAUAAGCCUCGGAGUAAUAACUGACAUUCGUAGUUUUCUGUACCUUUCUGUGCCCUAUCUUCCUCUAAUCUCUAUGGUCCCUCAGUGCAGUCACCUCCAUAUUCUCAAACAUUUCAGGGCUCAGACAUCCACAUUUGAUAAGGCUUUCAUAGAGACUGAUUUAGUAGUAUUUCCACAGGUAGUCUGACGAGCCUGGUGAUACUCUGACAAGGGUUCUGCAGCUUGGAAGUGAAAAGGAACUCGUGAGAACCCGACUCAUCUCCUUCGUGGCCUUGGGAAAUGGUCGUUGUGAGAGCCGAAAGGAUCUGAGAACACGGGUCAUAUUUUCAUUGCCGCAGCCACUACCGUCACCAGCGCCACCUUGCAACUCCCAACCCAGACUAACGCAACAUGUGAAAAAAGGUGAGAAACGGCAAACACAUACAUACAAAAGUAGAAAUAAAGCUCUGUCUGAACGUUGACUAAAAUAAAUUCUAAUAAAAACUGUCACUAUAUCAACCACAAAAGAGAAAGAAAGAGAGAUAGAGGAAAAAAUAUAAUAUGUAAUGUUUAUAUAUUUCUAUUUAUAUAUAUAUGUUUAUGUAUAUAUAUAAAUCUAUGACAGAACUGUGUAAUGUUUGAUCUUGUUCUGGUUAUUCAGGGAGAUCUCCGAGCGAACCUGAUGACCACACACACAGAGCCGGAUAGUCUUGUACGGUUGAGGGUGAAACACACACACACAAGCAUACACGCACUCUCUCACACACACAAACGCAGACAUUAUUAGCUAUUGGUCUUAUUUUUCUCUCGUUUUUAUAUAAUUUCUUUCCUUCCCUUGACCUGGCGAAUAAUUUGACACACACACACGCACACAAACGCAGACAUUAUUAGGUAUUUGUCUUAUUUUUCUCAUACAUACAUACAUACAUACAUACUUUCUGUCUGUCCCAUUCUCUCCCAUUUUUUGUAUUCUUUCUUUUCCUUUCCUUGACCUAGCAAAUAACUUCACACACACUAACACACACACACACACACACACACACACAGACAUAUUAGCUAUUUGUCUUAUUUUUCUCAUACUUGGUACUCCUGUUUCUGUCUGUCCCUUUCUCUCAUUUUUUAUAUCAUUUCUUUUCCUUUCCGUAACCUGGCGAAUAAUCUGACACACACACACACACACACACACACACACUUGCUACUGUCUGUCCACCUUCCUGAACCAUUUUGCCGUGUGUUGAUCAAAGAAUGGAAGGACACACAGCCAUCUGCCUCCCUGAUCCUUCUAGAUUUGUUCCUUUUUCCCACCGUUGAAGUCCCAUGCCAGUCAUUUAUGUGCACUAAAUAGCCCUUCUCACUUAUCUUCUUUGUUUUUAUUUAUGUGAUGAAUUUUGCAAACUCGCUUCUGAAACAACGUAACUUUAUCUUAUUUACCUAGUUUAUUAUACAGGGCCUCAGCUAUACUCGAGUGUCCUGUCUCAAACUUUAUAUUUGUCAAGAUUUUUCUUAUAUUGCCGCACACUCUUUGCCUCCAUCACCUCCUCUUCUAACUCACUCCAAGUAUUCAUAUUUUCAUUGGGGAAAACUGUACUUUUUUUGUCAUUAACCUGGUAGCAGUGACAGGCCAAAUUUGUGGCUUUACCGUGUAGCAGCGACAGGCCAAAUUUGUGGCUUUACCGUGUAGCAGUGAUGGACCAAAUUUGUGGCUUUCCCGUGUUGCAGCGACAGGCCAAAUUUGUGGCUUUACCGUGUAGCAGCAACGGGCCAAAUUUGUGGCUUUACCGUGUAGCAGCGACAGGCCAAAUUUGUGGCUUUACCGUGAAGCAGCGACGGGCCAAAUUUGUGGCUUUACCAUGUAGCAGCGACGGGCCAAAUUUGUGGCUUUACCGUGUAGCAGCAACGGGCCAAAUUUGUGCCAUGAUUGAACCCCCCAAAAUAGAUGAUACAUAAACUGAUCACAAAUGCUUUGAUAUAUAUUAUGAAAUGGUUUGUGUGAGUGAUGAUUUUUUCUCAUUUUUCUCGCUUGGAGGGACCAUUAAGAAACAUGAUCCCCGCUGCUACCGGGUUAGACAUUUUUCACUUUUUUUUCUUGUGUCCCCUCAACUCCCUGACCUUACUUUUCAUUUUCAGUAAUAUAAUGUGCAUCCCUCAGUGCCCCAAGAUUUAAUUUAUCAAUAAAAUAACUUACGUAAUGUUCAACUUCCCACAAUGUUCAUCUUCAUAUCCCUAGUACAGCCAACCCUGACCAAUGUUGCCAGAUUGUCGUACUCAGCCGAUUAUAUUUCCCGACUUCCUACCCCUAAACUGUCUUCUGGGCUCCGAUAACGAAACUCAUUUAUAGUUAUCGUUAAGAGUUAGAUUCUGAUGUUUCUUGGCAAUAGUUAGGCGUCAGAAACCGUUAAGUACUAUGCUCUGAGUACAAUGACCUAGCAACAGUGACCCUGACAGUAUUACCAGCUGGAUGAGAGCAGAGGAAAAGAAUACGAUUUAAAAUGUAUAAUUUAAAUACUAUAUCAAGUAACAAAAGACUAGGAAACUAUAAUGAUAUGAAGUUCUUCCACAACAACAAAAUAAUCAUCAAAAUUCUAUGUUCCAGUCUUCUUACAACAACCUGUUUUCCUCAAAGUAAAAAAAUGCAAAAGUCAAGUCACAUUCCUUGACACCUUUACAAUAUUAUGAUAAAAAAAUAGCAAAAAAUAAUAUGAACAAUGCCUCUUCGUGACCAGAAAACAUCCUUCCGUCAUCUCGUCCUGCUUAUUUCCUAGAUAAAAUUAAUAACAUUUCCAUAACACUUGUCCCUUUGUACGUAAAAUAUGCUAUCUCCCAGAAGACUACUGAACCCUUUCACCCAUAGCCCCACCUGUAUCAACAAAGUGGGAAGUCACAAGAAGAAAAAAUGAAGAAAACGUCCACACACUCAACACCCAUAUUCCCAGAGGCUUAAGGCUCACACACACACACACACAUUUGAUAAGGCUUUCCUGGAGAUUGUGGGUCUUUCCAUGGGUAAGUUUAUGAGCCUAGUGAUAGUACGACAAGGCUUUGGUAGAGAUAAUGUUACUAUUUCCAUGGGUAAGUUUAUGAGCCUAGUGAUAGUACGACAAGGCUUUGGUAGAGAUAAUGUUACUAUUUCCAUGGGUAAGUUUAUGAGCCUAGUGAUUACGACAAGGCUUUGGUAGAGACUGUUAUGUUACUAUUUCCAUGGGUAAUUUUAUGAGCCUGGUGAUCGUUUGACAAGGCUUUGGUAGAGAUUAUGUUACUAUUUCCAUGGGUAAUUUUAUGAGCCUGGUGAUCGUUUGACAAGGCUUUGGUAGAGAUUAUGUUACUAUUUCCAUGGGUAAUUUUAUGAGCCUGGUGAUUACGACAAGGCUUUGGUAGAGACUGUUAUGUUACUAUUUCCAUGGGUAAUUUUAUGAGCCUGGUGAUUACGACAAGGCUUUGGUAGAGACUGUUAUGUUACUAUUUCCAUGGGUAAUUUUAUGAGCCUGGUGAUCGUUUGACAAGGCUUUGGUAGAGACUGUUAUGUUACUAUUUCCAUGGGUAAUUUUAUGAGCCUGGUGAUCGUUUGACAAGGCUUUGGUAGAGACUAUUAUGUUACUAUUUCCAUGGGUAAUUUUAUGAGCCUGGUGAUCGUUUGACAAGGCUUCCGCACCAUGAAUGUGAGGAACACUCUUGCGAACCAGACUACCCUGUGUGGCCUCUGGAAAUUGUUGUAAGAGCCGAAAGCAUCUGAGAAUAUUGGCGUAAAUGUAAGACCGUGAACAGUCCAGGUGAUGCUAGAACGCUGCCUCUCUCACCCCCUUGCUGUCUAGUGAAUUACAGAGAUACAUGUCGAGUUGUAUCACCGAGUUCUCUCUCCUCCUCUGCUUUCCCCUUCCUGACGUGCCUUCCUCCCUCUUGCUGAAAUGACAUGUCUAGUGAAUGACCAAGAUACAUGUUAAGUUGUAUCACCGAGUUCUUUCUCCUCCUCUGCCUUCCCAUCCCUGACCUGCCUUCCUCCCUCUCGCUGAAAUGACUGUCAAUAUAGUUUUUAUCGCCUCAAUACAAGUGGCUUUUCUUUAUAUUGUUGAUGCGAGCUGCCUAAAUAAAAGUGAAUGUGUUUUUUGUAAUAAUGUAGGAACGGUUGCCUUGUGGUUUGAUUUUUAUAUCCAGCGUAAUGCAAGUUUUGGAAGUCUUGAAUCCGUUCUUAUAUUCUAUGCGUUCUUUAACUAUUCUUUGCAUGUUGAUUCUAAUGUAUAAAUUUUCUGGCGGUCUUGGAAUAGCACACACACACACACAUAUUUUUUUUAGAGAGGCAUGACACACUAUAGGUACACACACACACACACACACACACACACACACAUUUCAUCUUUCCAUUCUCACUCCUCAUCCUCAGUUAUUUUUUCUGGCAAUGUCUUGGAAUAGCACACACAUACACAUAUUUUUUUUUAGACAGGCAAGACACCCAAGUCACACACACACACACACACACACACACACACACACACACACACACACUUACAC